rnacentral:tmRNA from 2 species
GGGGCUGUACUGGUUUCGACGGGCUCACUGAAGAUGGAGAAGCUGUCCGUGGCCGGGCACCACGUUAAAAGUCCGAAUUUAAAAUUAAACGCUGAAGAUAAUUUAGCAUUAGCUGCCUAGUUGCAGCUUGUCGGUCCUAAUGCCCCGCCGUUAGGGUUACCGGCAUCGACUUGCGGGAAACUCUGCUGCCAAAGCUUUGCGGCAGCAGAAAAUAUAUGAAGCUACUAAAGGGCAAAACCUGUCAGCGGGUGUUGUCUGAAGGGAAUGAAUAAACACUGACUAUGACAGUAGAAGUACAUUGAAUCUGGGUUCGGACCGGGGUUCAACUCCCCGCAGCUCCACUU